rnacentral:rRNA from 1 species
GACGAACGCUGGCGGCGUGCUUAACACAUGCAAGUCGAGGGGGCUCAGCAAUGGGUCACCGGCGAACGGGUGCGUAACACGUGAGCGACCUGCCCAACUGCGGGGGAUAGCCGGCCCAACGGCCGGGUAAUACCGCAUACGACCUUCGAGAGGCAUCUCUUGGAGGUGAAACCGAAUUCAGGGCGGUUGGAGGGGCGUCGCGGCCUAUCAGCUAGUUGGUGCGGUCAUGGCGCACCAAGGCGACGACGGGUAGCUGGUCUGAGAGGAUGGCCAGCCACAUUGGGACUGAGAAACGGCCCAGACUCCUACGGGAGGCAGCAGUGGGGAAUCUUGCGCAAUGGCCGAAAGGCUGACGCAGCGACGCCGCGUGAGGGAUGAAGGUCUUCGGAUCGUAAACCUCUGUUGCCCGGGACGAACAACACCUUUCGAGGUGUCUGACGGUACCGGGU